CUCUAGCACGGAGUUCCAGAAGAACCCGACUUCAGUAGUUAGAGGACAAAGCUAUCCACAUGAACCGAUAUAAUUGGUGUCUCUGGAGAGGAGCUCUUCAUUUUCACUCGGAGGAUGUCACAAUCUCGCGUUUAAUUGCGGGAACAUCUCCCUAAGAAGAGUCAUUCGUCUUGAACGGCAAGUCUGAAGAAAUCACACGGUGAUCCUCAUCUCGGGAUUUAAACGCUAACGAAACCUGACGCACCUCUCUCACCGUUUCAGUGACACGCAGCCAGAGAUGGACGGACAGGCGGACGGGCCAGAUGGAGAGACAGACACGUUCGUGUGUACGUCAACGCGGACGCAGCCACAAGGUUCUUAGAAUAUGCCGCUCCACCAGCAACUCGCUGUCCUCCAGCACAGCUGAAAACAAACAACGACAUGUGGAGGAGCUGGGAUUUAGCAGGUCAAUGUUGUGACCAGCAAAGCUGGGAGAGUAUGCCAGACAAAGGCCAUUUUUAAAGACAUAAGCCGUAAAUAAAUUGUAUACAAUGAGAAAGAAUAAAUAGUAUUCCUCAUA